CCAUUUCAGCUCUAGGUGAAGUGCGGUCCCUCUAGUACUAAACUACAGCGUGGUAACGGCUGAAAAUUACAGCACAAAAGCAGCUGCUUGUCGAGAAAAACAGUCCCUGUGCUGGGAGAGUAGCUCGUUAUUCAGCUCUUAAACACCAGAGGGAUUUUUUUUUCCCGGACGAGCAGCUGCUGCAGGCCAUCAGGCUAACUGUAGCUAACUAGCCAUCCUCUACGGUAGUUUAGCGAACAAGCGUUACCUAGGUUACAGCGUUAUUCGCCAUUAACACGCUGUAGUUUAUUAAUAUUAAUGACCGAGAGCUUAAACAGCCAGCUAGCUAAAUUACUCACCGGUACUGAAAGAGCUCCUCCCCCCGCGCUACUCUACUGUAAUCCGGCAGGGUUAUCGCUCCUGCAAGCCCACCGCUCAGCGUGUUUUAGUGUCGCUGUUUUAAGACUCACUGAGGGACUGUUAAUGAAAACACAGUACAGAGCAGCGGACCUUCAGGACUAGAGUAUAAAAAUACCGGAUUAUUUGACUCCAACAUUGAUGGCUGUUCGCUAUAAAUCACAGCGUGGGUUAAACUGCUGCAGACGAGAUCCCGGAGCAAAGGAGGACCGGUUUCAGAGUUGCCAGAAUCACCGCUGAGCCGGUGGCGGGCGGGGCUGGAGUGGAUGCAGGGCCAAACUAAUAAACACAGCUUCUAGCACAGCUUGGAUGAGCAGCAGAAUAUCAAUCAAGCAUUUCUGAGGAUUACUGUUCCACUUCAACCGUGAUUCCCCGCUUCCUUGGAAUAGCGAAGGAGGAGUUUUCAAGGAGAAGACACAGAACGUCCUAUCAGCUCAGUCACUCUCCUGAUAAACUCUGAUAGUAGAAUCUGAAGAAGCCAGAAGAGUCAGAAGAAGAUGGUUCGUGUUUAUCAGGUUAAAGCAGCAGAUAUCUAUCUUUCUAAAGCUUGGUUUCGUGUGUUGUAAAAAGCUGUAAGCUUAAGCAGAAUCAAGUGCACAAUAAUUAUCAAACAGUGACUCAUAAUUUUAUCUGACUACUUAAUGGUGUGAACCUGAUCUCCACCCUUAGUGAGCAUUGUAUGUGCUUGCACCUUCUGCUGAUGCACGUACUGUAUUGUACGCACAUGUGUGUGUGUGUGUGUGUGAGUGUGAUUAUUUGCUUUAUAGUGGAUACUGUGUUGCUGUAAUCUCUUCCCCUUACAUAACCCAGUUGGGGAAGACCGCAGGUCGUAAGCAGUUAUUAGCGGAGCUGCUUCAGGCCAGCUGUUCAAAUCCAGCUUGAUGUUUAGACAAGAGUUCUGGGGUUAAGAGCGCUUAGUCUCUGUGCUUUUCACUUUUUGUAUGUGAGAAACGUUUGUUAGCUCCACUGAUUUGUUAGGGAGGUUGCACAAACAGUCGUGCACCUUCCUAGUGUGAAAAUAUGAAUGCUGUCAAUGUUUGUUUAUUCUUACAAAUACAAUUCUGUUUAUUGGGUGAGCAAAAUGGACAUAGAUCACAGAGCAGAAAUUCAAUGCAUGCAAAGAUUUUAUACAACAGCUCCCGUUAAUUACUUAACCCACCCUCGCAAAAAUAAAAAAUUAUCAGAUUGAUGUCAGAUUGAAAAGAAAAAACAAAAGGAAAAAAUAGGGCUGAUAUACAAGAGUAUUGAUGUGUAGCAGACUUCCCAAGUCUCCCUCUACUGCAUAUCAAUAACGGCUCCCUGAUGCCUGCAAGUCAGAUAAAAUCUCCGGUAAUCUAGAAUGAGUAGCCCAAGAGUAAACACAAACAUGCCUGCAGGCGACACAGACUUUUUUUUUUUUUUUACCAAUUGCGUGUGUAAAAGAGAGGGAGAGAAAUGUUUGCAUUAUUUGAGGUAUCUUUUUUGUUUCAUUUUCUGCAAAUAAAUGCUCUAAAUGACAAUAUGUUUAUUUGGAAUUUGGGAGAAAUUUUGUCUGUAGUUUAUAGAAUAAAACAACAAUGUUCAUUGUACUCAAACAUAAACCUAUAAAUAGCAAAAUCAGAUAAACUAAUUUAGAAACUUAAGUGUUUCUUUUCUUAGUAUCCUUUUUGGUAUGUGAAUGCAAGACUUUGUGCAGGGGAUUAUAAGGAGGGUCAGGGGUACCUCUCUGAAAUAAAUUUUUCAACUUGA